rnacentral:lncRNA from 1 species
UUGCUUUGAGCACCAGGAGAGCUUAUGCUUUGCACAAAGCUCUUCAGGAAGAAGUGUAUGAAUGCUGACAUGAUUGGAAAUGCUGGCAACAAAAACUAACAGACUCUUCAGCUUCCAUGCUUAAGAUCUAUGGAAUGUGGAGAACACACAGAGCCCACUCAGGAGGAGGGUGCCUGUUGGAAAAUCUUGUUCAGCCGGGCCGGUAUCAUGGCUGACUCCUCAGGUUCAUGGGGCUAGCGGCCCCAUUCUUAGUUUAUUUUUUUACUGUAGCUGACCUGAAAUUCUCAGUGAUUUUGAGCAAGGAGUGUAUGUUUUCAUCUCCC